CAAUUGUACAUUUGUUUCUGCAGUGCCACACUGAAGAACGGACAGACUUGUCUCAAUCCUACAGAGAACUGGGUGAUGUCACUCAAGACUCAAUUUGCAAAGCGAGAACAGACCGAAGAGAAAGCACAGACACAAGAGUGUGUGCCGAAGCGUGCAAGUGCACAGACAGAUGAUCUUCUGCUGUCUUGCAGCCGCUCCUGUCUUCUGCAGAACUGGCACAUACAUCGCCGUAUGGAUUAUCACAAGUGCUGUCGUGAUGCCUCUACCUAACACCAUCACUACACACAUACUGUAUUUACUUAAUCAAAAAUGUAUUAU